rnacentral:rRNA from 1 species
UUGGUUAAGUUAGAAAGGGCGCACGGUGGAUGCCUUGGCACUAGGAGCCGAAGAAGGACGGGACUAACACCGAUAUGCUUUGGGGAGCUGUACGUAAGCGUUGAUCCAGAGAUUUCCGAAUGGGGGAACCCACUAUCUUUAGUCGGAUAGUAUCCUUACGUGAAUACAUAGCGUGAGGAAGGCAGACCCAGGGAACUGAAACAUCUAAGUACCUGGAGGAAGAGAAAGAAAAAUCGAUUUCCUGAGUAGCGGCGAGCGAAACGGAAAGAGCCCAAACCAAGAAGCUUGCUUCUUGGGGUUGUAGGACACUCUAUACGGAGUUACAAAAGAAAGUUAUAAAUGAAGCGGUCUGGAAAGGCCCGCCAAAGACGGUAACAGCCCGGUAGUUGAAAUGGCUUUCCCUCCAGAGUGGAUCCUGAGUACGGCGGAACACGUGAAAUUCCGUCGGAAUCCGGGAGGACCAUCUCCCAAGGCUAAAUACUCCCUAGUGACCGAUAGUGAACCAGUACCGUGAGGGAAAGGUGAAAAGCACCCCGGAAGGGGAGUGAAACAGUUCCUGAAACCGUGUGCCUACAAGUAGUUAGAGCCCGUUAAUGGGUGAUAGCGUGCCUUUUGUAGAAUGAACCGGCGAGUUACGAUUUGUUGCAAGGUUAAGCGGAAAAAGCGGAGCCGUAGCGAAAGCGAGUCUGAAUAGGGCGCAUAAGUAACAGGUCGUAGACCCGAAACCAGGUGAUCUACCCAUGUCCAGGAUGAAGGUAAGGUAAUACUUACUGGAGGUCCGAACCCACGCACGUUGAAAAGUGCGGGGAUGAGGUGUGGGUAGCGGAGAAAUUCCAAUCGAACUUGGAGAUAGCUGGUUCUCUCCGAAAUAGCUUUAGGGCUAGCCUCGAGGUAAAGAGUCAUGGAGGUAGAGCACUGUUUGGACUAGGGGCCCUUCUCGGGUUACCGAAUUCAGAUAAACUCCGAAUGCCAUGUACUUAUACUCGGGAGUCAGACUGCGAGUGAUAAGAUCCGUAGUCGAAAGGGAAACAGCCCAGACCACCAGUUAAGGUCCCCAAAUAUAUGUUAAGUGGAAAAGGAUGUGGGGUUGCUUAGACAACCAGGAUGUUGGCUUAGAAGCAGCCACCAUUGAAAGAGUGCGUAAUAGCUCACUGGUCGAGUGACCCCGCGCCGAAAAUGUACCGGGGCUAAACAUAUUACCGAAAC